UCACCGUGGACACCCUGGAGGUCAUUCUCCCAGAGCUGUCCUAGUGGCAUCGUGGAGCACAGAGCACUGCCCCCUGAUAUAAAGUUCCUUUCCACAAUGUUGGAGAUGAAGCUGGACUUCAAGUCUGUGCCUUCAUAUUCCCAAGACUUCUUGGAGUCCCGUGGUGGAUGAUGACUAAGGAGAAAAGCCAUGCAUAAAACAAAC
ensembl:snoRNA Gm24948 small nucleolar RNA SNORA73 family